rnacentral:rRNA from 1 species
UGGGGAAUUUUGCACAAGGGGGGAAACCCUGAUGCACCGACGCCGCGUGAUUUAGAAGGCCUUCGGGUUGUAAAACUCUUUUCUAUGGGAAGAAAAUGACAGUACCAUAGGAAUAAGGACCAGCUAAUUACGUGCCAGCAGCCGCGGUACUACGUAAGGUCCGAGCGUUGUCCUGAAUCAUUGGGCGUAAAGGGUACGUAGGCGGGUAAGCAAGUUAGAAGUGAAAUCCUAUAGCUCAACUAUAGUAAGCUUUUAAAACUGCUCAUAUUUGGGUAUGGAAGGGAAAGUGGAAUUCCUAGUGUAGCGGUGGAAUGCGCAGAUAUUAGGAGGAAGACCGGUGGCGAAGGCGACUUUCUGGCCAUAACCUGACGCUGAGGUACGAAAGCGUGGGUAGCAAACAGG